GAGUGUGCCAGGCAGUAGAGAUGGGGUGAUAAAUGCCUGCUGGAAGACUCUAAGGGAAAAUGUUCAGAAAAAGAUCAGGCCUAACUAAUUCAUUCUAGCAAGUUCCUUGGCAGUAAAGAGAAAAAAAGAUGAAUGGCAGCUACUUAGUUUACUUAUACUUUCCUGUCAAUGUAGUCAUCUGAGGAAAAGGGGAGUGAACUGUAUCAAAAUGGAAAGCAAUUGUUUCAUGGACGUUGGCCAGUUUACGAGCAGACCACUCAUGUGGGGAGCACCAGAUGAGUUCCAGUCACAGUUCUUUCAUAAGCUUUAAAUGCCUCAUGAAGACGUGGAGAUCUCUUCCAAGUGCGACCUGGGUCACAUCAGGGAACGUUCAGCAGCAGAAGUCUGUUUCCAGUACAGUCCUUGGUAUGGCUAAAUUCCACUGUCCCUUUCUCAGCAGUCAAAAAUCCUUGAUAAAUUCUGUACAACACUGUAGUCAAUAACAGCAGCACCAGACAGCAUAUUAAUUCUUUUACCAUAAAUGUGUAUAUAAUUAUAAUGUUCUAUGUAUGGUGUUAUCAAAAUAAUGACUGUGUCUCUAAAUAUCAGAUAUGUACAUCUGGAUAAAUACAUUGCUGUACAAGAUCUCUGACAUGCAGGUCAUGCUCUAGACUUGAAAAUAUAGAGUAAUACAUGUUUCAUGGCCAAUAAUAAAAGUGACAAUAGUCUUUCUAACAAAAAAUAAACAUGAGAAUUAAAAAUUAA